CUCAUUCCUACCAGGCCCCAGGCAGACACUGUGCAGUAGAAGCAAUAGUUUGGGUACUACGGCAUGGGGCAGAGUGGCUGGAAAGAUGCCUGGUGGAAAAGGACCCAGGCUUGUUGGUUGACAGGGGCUGAACAUAAACCAGUGUGUGCCCAGGUGGCCAAUAACACCAACAGCAUUCUGGCCUGUAUCAACAAUAGUGUGGCCAGGAGGACUAGGGUAGGAACUGUCCCCCUCAACCGAGAGUACCCUCCUGGUUCUUCCACCUGGUGAGAAGCAGAGGAGGAGAGCACAACAGAGCAUGACUACAGAUGAAUGUGUACAGAUGUUGUAUCUGCCUUGAGCUGACACAACCUUUGCUGCACACCACUGCAUUGUUUCUGUGGUGAUGUACAACUGUGACAGCCAUGAGAGUGAUGGAUGGAGCAACAGGAAAAUAAUGGGAAAUCAGAGGACAGAGGCUUGCAGCAGGGCACCUCAGCCAUGUGCUUCAGCUGGCAAGGAGAAGAAGGGAGUGAAGAGGACAUGAAUGAUCUUGAAUGAAACAGGCUGAAAUGGAAGGGGAAAAUGAAACACAGAAGAAGGGUUGCAGAGACAUUGACUUUAUGGUGAGGCACGGAGUAGUGACUUGGUAUUUGUUUUACCCCAGACUGCCCAAACAGCUCUAGCCAAGUCAUCCUACUGGUGUGAACAUCAGUUUAUCUUCUGUAAAAAGUUUCUGAGAAAGGAACAGUCACAAAAUAUCAUGGGCCAUGGUGAAUAUAAAACAGAUUGCAACUACCUUCUAAGUGAUAAAAACCAGGCUGAACAACAACAGAGAAAAAAAAAAGUUUUUAUCUGAACAUUCUCAACAAAGUCACACUUCAUGGAGGAAAGCGAACAGAAACAGACAGUGAGAAAUUUGAAUCCAUUUCUGCUUGUCUCCAUGAUGGAUCUAUACCCAAUAUAUGCAGUUGCUAUACUUUCAGGAAGCUCUUGUAU